rnacentral:rRNA from 1 species
AACGAACGCUGGCGGCAUGCCUAACACAUGCAAGUCGAACGAACCUUUCGGGGUUAGUGGCGGACGGGUGCGUAACACGUGGGAACGUGCCUUUAGGUUCGGAAUAACUCAGGGAAACUUGUGCUAAUACCGAAUGUGCCCUUCGGGGGAAAGAUUUAUCGCCUUUGGAGUGGCCCGCGUCGGAUUAGCUAGUUGGUUGAGGUAAUGGCUCACCAAGGCGACGAUCAGUAGCUGGUCUGAGAGGAUGAUCAGCCACAUUGGGACUGAGACACGGCCCAAACUCCUACGGGAGGCAGCAGUGGGGAAUAUUGCGCAAUGGGCGAAAGCCUGACGCAGCCAUGCCGCGUGAAUGAUGAAGGUCUUAGGAUUGUAAAAUUCUUUCACCGGGGACGAUAAUGACGGUACCCGGAGAAGAAGCCCCGGCUAACUUCGUG